ACGUGUUGGCCUUGGCAGACCUUAGGGCUUCAGCUUAGAGAAGAGGUAGGUUCCUUGCCAAGCCCAUCCAUAUGGGCCAGGAAGCCAAGGUUCUGGAGCAGUGCUGGAGCACAGAACACAUUGUUUCUCCCCCACCCCAGAGUUCUAGAGUCUUUGGUUAGAAUCAUGUAGUCCAUGGUUAGGGCCAGUAGCCACACCCCUUGUGCUUCUGAGCAACCUGGCACUUCAUUCUGCGUGUGAUAGGGCACUUAUACAGUGAAGCAAGGCUGUCUGGUUCCCAAGGAGAAGCCUCCUCCCCUGCCUCAGAAACUCCUUCCUGUCACUGGAUUCUGCUGGGACAAGAGCCGGGGUGUCAGGGCCAGGAGGAAGAAGUCCUGAGGCUGGAGCUGGUGCACCAAGGAAGGAAGAUGGAUGGUCACAGUGCUGGGUGCUGCCAGGGACCCGCAAGCCCCUCAGAAUACACUGAUCUGGUGACACUUUGAAGCACCUCAUCUUCCGUCAGCAGCCUCAGGCCGGACAACAUCUUAGGACUCUUCUAGCCAGACACAUGCUAUCCUGCAAGUGAGCCUAGCAGUGGCAGAUGACGUCAGCUCUGGGCCAGCCCCUGAAGGAGGCAGAUCAAAUUGUCCAGACCCCAGAGGUAGCCGUCCUCACGGUUGCCCUCUGUCCAAGGCAGCCUGUGACUGAGCAUCUGGUGGUCAGGCAGGGCCAUUGUCUUGCCGAAGUCAAUCAUCCAGACCUUGGCCAGGCCAGUGUGGUCAUGCACAAAGAGAAGGGAACUGCCCACUACCUGCAGCGGAGAGUGAGAGAAAAGCAGUUAGAGAAAGGAGCAAGCACUAGCUAAUGUAUUUCCCGGUGAGCAGUAAACAGGGUGGUAAGACAGCAGAAACUCUGGAAUGAGGCUACCCAAGUUCAAAUCCUGACUCUGAUUCUACAUAAACAAACAGAAUAAUUGUACAAUUAUACAUAAUGGGCAUAAAGCAUUUCAAAUGGUUCCUGAAACACAACAAAUACACAAUGAAUGUUACAAUGUGCGUGUGUGUCCAUGCAUGAGUAUACCCAAAGGAUGGCCCAGAGACUCCAAUAACCUAAGGAAUUAAGCAGGAGUUCACAGGGGAACUACACCCCUAGCCCCUGUCACCUUCACUUUCACUUUACUUCAUUUCUUUGACAGGGUCUUAGUCCCAGAUGUCCCUGAGCGACCUAGACAGCCCAGGAUGUCCUUGAACUCCCGAUCGUCCUGCCUCUAUAGUGUCCUGCAUGGUUUAUUCGUGUUAACAAGGUCUCCUCCUACAGGCCAGGCUGGCCUACCUCCCAGCCUUCCUGCUUUUUUUUCCUCUUCCUCCUCCUCCUCCUCCUCUUCCUCCAGUGUGAGCCACCAGCACACUGGGCUAUUCGCUGUCAUCAUUUUUUAAUCUACUGCACAAGCUCAAAUGUAGUCCCAGCCUUGACCGAGUCGGUGAACUCAGACUGGACAGCAGACCUGGAGAACUUUGCUAGAUUAAGACAGUAGUUUCUUAGGCGUACUGGACUGUGGCUGAUGAUGUUAGACAAGUCGCUUCCUUCCUCUGGCCUUGGUGUCCUGUCUGUACAAUGGGGAAGUGGGUAACCCCCUACCUCCUGGAGUCACCAGAAGAACCCUACAAGCCACAGGCUCCUCAAGUGCCUCCCAGCAUCUGCCUUGAAGUCCUCCUUAGUGGGUGCUGUUAGUGGAACUUCUAUUUACUUGUUUGAGAGACGGCCAUUGCUGAGCAGGUGUAGUGCAUCUACAAUCCAAGCACUGGGGAGGCAGAUGAAGGACAGCCACAAGCUUGAGGUAAGCCUGGGCUGCACAGUGAGUUCUGGGCCUGCCGAAGCUAACAGAGUAAACUUGCCUCAAAACAAAGUCACUAAGCCAGCCACGGUGAUACACGCCUUUAAUCCCAGCACACAUAGGCAGGUGAAUGUAUAUGAGCUCAAGGCUAGCCUGGGCUACAAAGUGAACAUAUGGGCUAGUGAGAUGAAAGGCACUUGCCACCAAACCUGAUGACCUAAGCUAAGUUUGAUUCCUGGGACCCACACAGUGGCGAGAAGAUUCUCCCAUGGGCUGUCCUCUAACCUCCAGGUACCUGUCUGGACUGCUAGACCUUGUGAGCCUUAACCUGAAGCAGGAGAAUUAAAGUCCAAGGCCUGUAGCCUAGACUACAGAGUGAGCUCUUGAGUGUGGAGAGCUUUUGGGGCAGCUUCUAGAAAUUUGGCAGGAAUUUGACACUGGGCUAGGACAUGGAAGUAAGCUCAGGCAGGAAUCUGAUUUGGGGCUAGAACAAAGAAUUAGGCUUUAGGCAAGAAUUUGACUUUGGGCUAGGACUGGUAAGUAGGCUCAGACAUCUUGGUUAUCCUGAUGAGCCUCUAGAAACGGUGACCACAGGGCUUUGUUACCUUGCUUGUUGCUUAACCUGUAGCUGACCUUAUUAUCUGCAUGUAAUUAAAAUGCUAUAAAAGCAGACUAAGAAAAAAUAAACCUGCUUCAGCCUCAGAACUGCCUGAGGUCAUGCUACA